CGUAAUAUACGCCACCUCGCGACAGUGAGCUGAAAGCCGCGUCGCAACUGCUCUUUAACAAUUUAUCAGACAAUCUGUGUGGGCACUCGAAGAUACGGAUUCUUAACGUCGCAAGACGAAAAAUGAANGGGAUAACUACUGGAAACGGUAGCUAAUACCGCAUAACGUCGCAAGACCAAAGAGGGGGACCUUCGGGCCUCUUGCCAUCGGAUGUGCCCAGAUGGGAUUAGCUAGUAGGUGGGGUAACGGCUCACCUAGGCGACGAUCCCUAGCUGGUCUGAGAGGAUGACCAGCCACACUGGAACUGAGACACGGUCCAGACUCCUACGGGAGGCAGCAGUGGGGAAUAUUGCACAAUGGGCGCAAGCCUGAUGCAGCCAUGCCGCGUGUAUGAAGAAGGCCUUCGGGUUGUAAAGUACUUUCAGCGGGGAGGAAGGGAGUAAAGUUAAUACCUUUGCUCAUUGACGUUACCCGCAGAAGAAGCACCGGCUAACUCCGUGCCAGCAGCCGCGGUAAUACGGAGGGUGCAAGCGUUAAUCGGAAUUACUGGGCGUAAAGCGCACGCAGGCGGUUUGUUAAGUCAGAUGUGAAAUCCCCGGGCUCAACCUGGGAACUGCAUCUGAUACUGGCAAGCUUGAGUCUCGUAGAGGGGGGUAGAAUUCCAGGUGUAGCGGUGAAAUGCGUAGAGAUCUGGAGGAAUACCGGUGGCGAAGGCGGCCCCCUGGACGAAGACUGACGCUCAGGUGCGAAAGCGUGGGGAGCAAACAGGAUUAGAUCCCCUGGUAGUCCACGCCGUAAACGAUGUCGACUUGGAGGUUGUGCCCUUGAGGCGUGGCUUCCGGAGCUAACGCGUUAAGUCGACCGCCUGGGGAGUACGGCCGCAAGGUUAAAACUCAAAUGAAUUGACGGGGGCCCGCACAAGCGGUGGAGCAUGUGGUUUAAUUCGAUGCAACGCGAAGAACCUUACCUGGUCUUGACAUCCACNGUGAGACAGGUGCUGCAUGGCUGUCGUCAGCUCGUGUUGUGAAAUGUUGGGUUAAGUCCCGCAACGAGCGCAACCCUUAUCCUUUGUUGCCAGCGGUCCGGCCGGGAACUCAAAGGAGACUGCCAGUGAUAAACUGGAGGAAGGUGGGGAUGACGUCAAGUCAUCAUGGCCCUUACGACCAGGGCUACACACGUGCUACAAUGGCGCAUACAAAGAGAAGCGACCUCGCGAGAGCAAGCGGACCUCAUAAAGUGCGUCGUAGUCCGGAUUGGAGUCUGCAACUCGAUUCCAUGAAGUCGGAAUCGCUAGUAAUCGUGGAUCAGAAUGCCACGGUGAAUACGUUCCCGGGCCUUGUACACACCGCCCGUCACACCAUGGGAGUGAGUUGCAAAAGAAGUAGGUAGCUUAACCUUCGGGAGGGCGCUUACCACUUUGUGAUUCAUGACUGGGGUGAAGUCGUAACAAGGUAACCGUAGGGGAACCUGCGGUUG
rnacentral:rRNA from 1 species